GAAAUGUCAGGCGUGGUGGGAGCAGUCCAGUCAGGCCAGUCUCAGCCUGCUCCUGUCUCCUCGUCACCAUGAUUCUCUCAGGCCUGCUGGGAUUGCUGUUUGGGCGAUCAGUCUUUAACUCAUUUCUCAUUUUAAGCAGCUUAAGGUGUGAAUCUGUGGUGGCUUCAGAUGAUCUGAAUCCCAGCGUCUCCCACCCCCUCUUCGCAUUCCCAGCUCCACACGUUCCCAUCUCUGUUCCCGUGCCUGCCAUGAGCACUUGUGCUGCCUCUCGCUUCAGCAGCGAGGCAUUGCCAACAAGGCUUAUUUGGGCUGUACAGACAUAAGGCAGUUCUUCAGGGGAUGUGUCCGUUGACCAUAAAACAUUUGGGGUCUCCAGCCAAGACUUUGUUUUCUAAAUUAU
rnacentral:lncRNA from 1 species